rnacentral:rRNA from 1 species
UAGGGAAUCUCGGCAAUGGACGAAAGUCUGACCGAGCAACGCCGCGUGAGUGAAGAAGGUUUUCGGAUCGUAAAACUCUGUUGUUAGAGAAGAACAAGGGUGAGAGUAACUGUUCACCCCUUGACGGUAUCUAACCAGAAAGCCACGGCUAACUACGUGCCAG